AAACCUCCAUUUAAAUAUGUGACUUUAAUUGCACCUUUUUUCUUGUUCAUUUUCUCCUACAUUUUUCUAUUUUAGGGUCUUAAAUUUACUUCAUCAAUAGUCUUGAAAACGUUAGUGUUUUUACCUCCCAAAGCUCCAUAAUUAAACUUAAAUCUCACUGGACAGCUAACUGAAUUUCCGCUUCUCCUCUGGUUGUGAUCAGUGGAAGGAUAAUGCCGUGGAGGAUCUUACCCUGCCAAUAUGUUUGCGCUCACAGUGAGGCCGAUGCAGAAUGCAACCAAUGAGGUGCUGGUUUUCUUGUUGAUGGCCCCCAUGCAGACCACCAAUGUGAGGAACAACGUCAUUAUCGUCUCGGCCAGAGUGAUUUUAGCCAGAUCAGCGGUCAGGGGCAAGACAAAGGAUCCUCCGGAGGCAGCAUUAUACGUGAUAUCAGGAAAUACGCCCUGAGAGAAGAACAAAUGAGUAUAAAAUAUCCCUGCAUGAUACAGUUAUAUACGAUUUUCAUGUAUUUUCACCUUGUGUUUUUAUUCCUAGGAAUCCAGGAUUAAAGGAUGCUAAGGGUAUCAGUUGUUUUGUGCUUUUUUGAGUCAUAAAGAACCAUCAUUAUAAUUAUAAGACAAAACAGAACAUUGACCUUGAACUGGGCUCCCGUAGUGUUCCUCACCAUGGUAAGAGCCGCCCCGAGCACGCUUCCUAACAUCUGGGCGAGGAUGUAAGGCAGCAGCAGGGCGAGCUUCAUCCCUCCACACAGCAUGAUGAGCACGGCCAGUGCCAGUCCAUGAGCAAUCGCAGGCUGAAUGACUCCGAAGGCUCCAAUGUUCCCCAUAACAGACGCACACCCCACAAACACAAACAGGGUCGUCCCGUACAGCUCGGCCAGGCAGGGCUGCAAAUACUGCUCGAAGAUGCGAGUGCUCUUCCUCAUGGGUUCCUUUCCAGCUGCAGAUUCCACCAUCUCACUUAUGGUGAACUCGACCUUGCUUUCUGUCCCCGACAUACUGAAUCAAAAUAUGGUCUCUACCUGUGCCACUCACUGCCCUCACUCUCCGAUGAAGGGACACUUAUAAGCCAUUCUGAGGAUGAUUCACAAAAGCUGUACGCACAUCCCAAUUAUUUUUCCCCUUCUGAGGCCCCACCUUCCUGCAAUUGUUUAUACUCCCAAGAGCAAUCGGAAGAUCAUAAAAUUGCGUAGGCUAUAUAUGUUUUUGAGAGAUAAGGAUUAGGGGGCACAAAAGCACCCCGUUAAACAUUGAGGGGUACCACAUAUUUGAGUUCCCCAUCAGUAAAAUAAUGGUAAUGCUCGAGGAGUGUGUUGUUUUUUUAUGUAAUAUUCUUUGUGGCCACUUUGAGGGCUACGAAAGCAAGCUAUAAACACUGUAAUCUGUUAUGACCUUAAGGAUGAUAGGACGAGACUGUUAGCAAAGGUGAAAGAGGUGGUGUGAUGUUUGUCCCUGUAAAGAGGUCACAUCUCACCACUAUCAUUUAUUAUACGCUUUCUCUCCCUGCUUUGCAUGGAUGCUCAGAUAUACACAGAUCAUUUGCUACAUGGUUGUAUACAGGUGGUCUUCCUGUCACCCAUGUUGUAUGUAUGUUAUGUCUAAAUGUUUAAAUGACAGUAUUAAAAAACAGUGGUGAAAAUAGCAUUACCUCAGAUAACUGAUUAUCAUAAAUACUGCUAACUAUCCCAUUAGCUGAUGUUCAUCAUUUUCCUUUUGCUUUUACAUUUAAAUGUAUUCUUUUACGUGUUGAUUUUUAUUUAAAAUAUUAUAGUUUUAACUGUAUUUGUAUUAUUUUACGCCAAAAUACUUAUGUAAGGUGAAUAACAGAAGCAAACAUCUUAAAUGACUGUGAGCAAAAGUUCUUAUUAUGCAGAAAGUGUUCAUCUUUUUAACGUCGGUGGCACUAAUGGUAAUUACUGCUGUUUAGCUUAUUAUAAAAGGCUUCAUUUUUCAGUUAACUCAUAUUUUACAUUGGUAAUUACUAGCACAUGUAAAGUAACGUACUAAACACAUCAAAUAAGUGUGUAAAGUCGGGGCAUAAGAUUAGCAUAAAAAGGAAAUGAUCAAGUAAACGACCUACGUUAAACACACCCAGCCAGCGAGCAACAUCAGCGUAAGGGGUGCAGACAGCAUUGUUGACAAUUUACACCGGGAUUUGUUUUUU